GGUUGACAGCAUGGGUUGUGCAGAAGGACGGAUCCUGCAGACAUCAAUAUCUGGCUUUGAGUGGCACAAAGAAAUAAAGGAAUGUGGAUUCAGACCUCACUGGGAUGCUUGGCAAUUCUAAUUCUACCCCAGACUGCAAAUGGACACACAACUGUUGUGACUUUUGUUGAAGAGGAGAAGGAUGGUGAAGGUCUCUUUAGUCAAUAAUCUCUUUGCUGAAAUUGCUUCGGGCAGCACAGAAGCUGGAUUCAGAAGCACACAGGUCUGGGGAUGCAGGCUUCGGCCAGCCUGAUGCAAGGAAAGACUGCCAUCUCGUGGUCAGCUCAAUCCUGGCACCUUGGUGAGGGACCAGGCUGCAGAAAACCAGGCUUGGGGAGGAAACGGUGCUGCAAACUGGAUUUCUGCCGGACAGUGUGGAUGCCCUUAGAAAACACCCAGAAAAGAGCUGAGUGCCCCCCAAGGUGCCUCGGAGUGGGAUUGCUGAGUCACACAGUAAGUGUAUGUUUCACUUUUUAAAAGCUGUCAAGCCUCUUCCAGAGCAGCCAAGCCAGUCUGCGUUUCCACCAGCAAUUUCUGAGAGUUCCAGUUGCUCUGCGUCCUUGCCAGUGCUUGGUAUUGCCAGGUUUUUUAUUUUUUAACCCAUUCUAAAAUAUGUUUAGUGCCCCCCAUUUUUUUUAUCUUUGUAAAUGUUAUAGGUGAAUUUUAAAAGUCAAUCUCAAUAUAUAUUGGCUGUUAAUAAUACUAUUAAUACCUAUUACUGUUAAUAAUGCUAAUAAGUAACUAUCAAAUCUCAUAGAUGAAAAAGAUGAUUUAUGAUCUUUAAAAUUUUGCAUUUUUAUUAUUAGGAAAGUCAGAAGGGCUCAAUUUUAAACAGAGAGAGAAGCGGAUAGAGAAGUGUGUUCUUGCCUGAAGGUGUCUUUCAUCUUGGGCUGCCUCUAUC
ensembl:lncRNA LINC01727 long intergenic non-protein coding RNA 1727